CCGCGAACGUUCUCGCGUUCACUCAAGCGUCACGUAAUCAACACAUUAUCCACCCGUGCGCUCGCCUAAUCCUCUCGCAAGCGUGUCGCGGCGACGCGAUCGUUUCUCGAGACAGCGACGGCUUAACGGAACGUGUCGCUGAGUGGGUGAGUGGGUCGGCACGUCGGUCGGCACUCGUUGGCACGCGAUUAAUUAGCAAAUUACAGUCGCGAUUAAUCCCGUGUUGUAACAUAUCAACCGCGUAGCGUAAAUUCGUAGCGCGUCUCGGAUCGAUACGCUGUGAGAUUCAUUCGUUUUGUAUAUCCAUCGCGCGCGAGCCCGCGAGCGGCCGACAAAGCUGACAUAACCGUGUUUUCGCGAGUGCGUGACGUAUGAGUGCCGAGACUGCCGAGCAAGCGACAACUCGGAGGAGCCUGAGAGGAGGAAGCGGCUUAGGAAGCAUCGGGCGACAGCGGAGCAUCCACGGGAUCAACCAGGUUACAACGUAGUUACAACUCCGCUGCUGCGCAUCGUAUCGG